rnacentral:rRNA from 1 species
UACGGGGGGGGGUAAGCGUUGUUCGGAAUUACUGGGCGUAAAGGGCUCGUAGGCGGCCAACUAAGUCAUACGUGAAAUCCCUCAGCUUAACUGGGGGAACUGCGUGUGAUACUGGAUGGCUUGGAUUUGGGAGAGGGAUGCGGAAUUCCAGGUGUAGCGGUGAAAUGCGUAGAUAUCUGGAGGAACACCGGUGGCGAAGGCGACAUCCUGGACCGGUAUUGACACUGAGGCGCGAAAGCCAGGGGAGCAAACGGG